GACGAACGCUGGCGGCGUGCCUAAUACAUGCAAGUUGAGCGGUUAAGGGGGGUUCUUGUCCCGACUGGGUGAGCAGCGGACGGGUGAGUAACGCGUGUGUGAUCUGCCUUGGAGGGUGGGGCAACGUUUGGAGACGAAUUCUAAUACCGCAUAAGAACUUUAAACACAGGGUUUAUGUGUGAAAGAUGCAAUUGCUUCACUUAAGUCGGAUCCCCCGUUUUAUUAGCUAGUUGGGUAGGUAAAGGCCCACCAAGGCGAUGAUACAUAGCCGACCUGAGAGGGUGAUCGGCCCACAUGGGAAUGAGAAACGGGCCCAACCCCUACGGGAGGCAGCCGUAGGGAAACUUUGGACAGGGACGAAAGUCCGAACGAGGCAAGCCGCGUGAGUGAAGAAGGGUCUCGGAUCGGAAAACUCCGUUGGUAGAGAAGAAAGUUGGGGAGAGUGGAAAGCUCAUGAAGUGACGGUAACUACACAGAAAGGGACGGCUAACUACGUG
rnacentral:rRNA from 1 species